rnacentral:rRNA from 1 species
GACGAACGCUGGCGGCGUGCUUAACACAUGCAAGUCGAGCGAGUUGAUUCCCUUCGGGGAUGAAGCUAGCGGCGGACGGGUGAGUAACACGUGGGCAACCUGCCUUAUAGAGGGGGAUAGCCUUCCGAAAGGACGAUUAAUACCGCAUAACAUCAGAUUACCGCAUGGUAGACUGAUCAAACGAGCAAUCCGCUAUAAGAUGGGCCCGCGUCGCAUUAGCUAGUUGGUGAGGUAACGGCUCACCAAGGCGACGAUGCGUAGCCGACCUGAGAGGGUGAUCGGACACAUGGGGACUGCGACACGGCCCGGACUCCUACGGGAGGCAGCAGUGAGGAGUAUUGCACAAUGGGGGAAACCUUGAUGCAGCAACGCCGGGUGAGUGAUGAAGGCCUUCGGGUUGUAAAGCUCUUUGAUCAGGGACGAUAAUGACGGUACCUGAAGAACAAGCCACGGCUAACUACGUGCCAGCCGCCGCGGUAAGAC